GAUGAACGCUGGCGGCGUGCCUAAUACAUGCAAGUCGAGCGAACAGACGAGGAGCUUGCUCCUCUGACGUUAGCGGCGGACGGGUGAGUAAAACGUGGAUAACCUACCUAUAAGACUGGGAUAACUUCGGGAAACCGGAGCUAAUACCGGAUAAUAUAUUGAACCGCAUGGUUCAAUAGUGAAAGACGGUUUUGCUUUCACUUAUAGAUGGAUCCGCGCCGCAUUAGCUAGUUGGUAAGGUAACGGCUUACCAAGGCAACGAUGCGUAGCCGACCUGAGAGGGUGAUCGGCCACACUGGAACUGAGACACGGUCCAGACUCCUACGGGAGGCAGCAGUAGGGAAUCUUCCGCAAUGGGCGAAAGCCUGCCGGAGCAACGCCGCGUGAGUGAUGAAGGUCUUCGGAUCGUAAAACUCUGUUAUUAGGGAAGAACAAAUGUGUAAGUAACUAUGCACGUCUUGACGGUACCUAAUCAGAAAGCCACGGCUAACUACGUG
rnacentral:rRNA from 1 species